UUUUCUUGUGUCCGGUGGCUUUGACUGAAAACACCCCAAAUGCCAAAGCCAAUCUUGAAAACAACUCCACCUCCCCAGUCUUCACGUCAUUCCCCCACUGCUCUUACGGCUACUGCUGCCGCCUCAUAGCCACCUCUCUCCUCUACCCCCACCUCUUCACCGCCACAAACCCAGUUCAAGAAAUAAAGAGGGAUAGGGAAUAAAGUACUAGAAAGUUACUCUUGUCCCCUUUAAAAUUUUGAGUAGUGCUUUUGUCAUCAUGGCUGAUAGCGAUAGGGACCAUCUUGGAGCAGGAGGAACGAGCACUACUAGUUUCUCUCAGUUGCUGUUUUCCGAUGAUGAUAGCGUUGUUGGUAUUGAUAUGGGCCAUGCCCUUCACUACACUUCUUCUUCCACUGCCACUGGAAAGCUUUCUAAAAUGAUCUGCUUCGAAGGCUUUCACCAUCUUCAGGAAAACCAACCUGAUACUAAUGUUCAUCAACGUAGCGAGCCCACGAUAAGCACUCUUCAGAAGUCUUCUGGGGUCACAUGCAGCGACUCCUCUUCUACUUCUUCUGCCAACAACAGCAGCAGCAAAAAUGUCAAUGUCAACACUGCCUCAAGAUCAAAUGUAAAGAGAAAAAGAAAUGGGACAGGCCAACAACCUGUGCAGUGCACUGCGGCCAUAUCCAGAACUGCUUUAACAAAUACCAGGGCAUGUAAAAAGGCCAAAACAGAGAAUCUUAUUUCCCCUGCCUAUCCAAAGGUGAGAAAAGAGACGCUAGGAGAACGAAUCACUGCAUUGCAGCAGCUUGUAUCACCCUUUGGAAAGACUGAUACGGCAUCAGUUCUACAUGAAGCGAUGGGAUAUAUCAAGUUCCUUCAAGAGCAGGUUCAGGCCCUGUGCUCUCUGUACCUGCAACAUCUACCUAAGAGCGAAGAAAAUGGAGAAGAAUCAAGAAAGGACAUGAGUAGCAGGGGAUUGUGUCUGGUACCAGUGGAAUGGACCCUACAAGUAGCAAGCAGCAAUGGUGCAGAUUACUGGUCACCUGCAAUGUGCAACAAUUUUUCACCUCCAUCAACAACCAAGCACCAUCGGUGAAUCCACCUGUCCAUCAACUCAUAAUUUUUUACAAUUGAGGAUCAACAAGUUAAAAAUAGGGGAAGCUUUUGACUGCUAUUUUUGGUGUAGAUUAGGUGACAAAGUAGGAAAGGAAAGGAAAGGAAGGGAUCUUUCCUUGGUAGUUUUUGGUAAGAAAAUACAAGUGGGUUUUAGGCUGGGAAGUGUGUUUUUGGCGAAAAUAAUCAUUUUGCUCCUGUACUUAUUAUUAGGUGAG
rnacentral:misc_RNA from 1 species